rnacentral:rRNA from 1 species
UACGGAGGGUGCGAGCGUUGUCCGGAAUCACUGGGCGUAAAGGGCGCGUAGGCGGCGCGAGUAGUCAACGGUGAAAGCCCGGGGCUCAACCCCGGGUCGGCCGUCGAUACUCUCGUGCUUGAGCACUGUAGAGGCAGGUGGAAUUCCGGGUGUAGCGGUGAAAUGCGUAGAGAUCGGGAGGAACAUCAGUGGCGAAGGCGGCCAUCUGGGACAACACUGACGCUGAAGCACGAAAGCGUGGGGAGCAAACAGG